rnacentral:rRNA from 1 species
CAAGCGGUGGAGCAUGUGGUUUAAUUCGAUGCAACGCGAAGAACCUUACCUACUCUUGACAUCCAGCGAACUUAGCAGAAAUGCUUUGGUGCCUUCGGGAACGCUGAGACAGGUGCUGCAUGGCUGUCGUCAGCUCGUGUUGUGAAAUGUUGGGUUAAGUCCCGCAACGAGCGCAACCCUUAUCCUUUGUUGCCAGCGAUACGGUCGGGGACUCAAAGGAGACUGCCGGUGAUAAACCGGAGGAAGGUGGGGAUGACGUCAAGUCAUCAUGGCCCUUACGAGUAGGGCUACACACGUGCUACAAUGGCGCAUACAAAGAGAAGCGACCUCGCGAGAGCAAGCGGACCUCAGAAAGUGCGUCGUAGUCCGGAUCGGAGUCUGCAACUCGACUCCGUGAAGUCGGAAUCGCUAGUAAUCGUGGAUCAGAAUGCCACGGUGAAUACGUUCCCGGGCCUUGUACACACC